AGAAAACUGGACUAAUUACUGAAUCUAGUUUUAGUUAGAUUGUUAAAAUGCCCUAUAUGUCUAGGAUUUCACUUAAUUUUUAAAACUAAUAUUGAAAGAGUAAAUUACAAUAUUAAAGCUAAAACUUUGCACAAUUUGACCUUCUGAGAUUACAACUUUCAUAGUAGUCACAUAAUUCAAAACUGGUACACAAGUAUAUUUGCAGAAAGUAGAUCUAUUAAACUAUGUAACUGAGAAC